AUGGCUGGGGUGGAGACGGCACCCGUCACACCCGUAAACGGCGCUAACUGGUCACGCAAGGACCGGUCAAAAUCACAAAAAACAAUCCAAGCUAAUCGGCCGCGGGUUGCUGCUGUAGACGGACAAGGGAAGGGCACAGGCGGAGCUACGCAGGCCGGUGCUCGUAGCCCGCUCCGGCGAGGUCGAGUUGCCGUGCGCCCGCGUGCCCACGGCCCAGCCCGCUCCGGCGAGGCAGAAAUCCCGUGCGCCCACUCCGUCAAGACCAAGAUCCAAUGCGUUUGCGCCCUUGCCCGCUCCAGCGUGGCCGACUGUCGUGCGUCCGUGCGCCCGCUCCGGCGAGGCCGAGCUGCCGUGCGCCCGCGCGCCCACGGCCUAGCCCGCUCCGGCGAGGCUGAAAUCCCGUGCGCCCACGAACCAGCCUGCUCCGGCGAGGACGAGCUGUCGUGCGCCCACUCCAUCAAGACCAAGAUCCAGUGCGUCCGCGCCCCUGCCCGCUCCGGCGUGUCCGACUGCCGUGCGUCCGCGCGCCCGCUCCGGCGAGGCCGAGCUGCCGUGCGCCCACAACGUCAAGGCCGACAUCCCGCGCGUCGGCGGCCCUGCCCGCUCCGGCGUGGCCGAGCUGGGUGCGUCCGCGUGUGCUGCGCACCCGCUUCGGCGAGGCCGAGCUGCCCUGCGCCGCGCGCCCAAUCCGUCAAAGCCGGCAUCCAGCACAUCCAGGCCCCUGCCCGCUCCGGCGAGGCCGAGGUCACCGCUGCCCGCUCCGGCGAGGCCGAGGUCACCGCUGCCCGCUCCGGCGAGGCCGAGGUCACCGCGGUGCUCGAUUUGGUCGUCGGCUCGUGGGUAGACGUGCCUAGCAUGGAAGCCCUCAUCCCCGUAGCGAUACCAUCGAUGGUGUCAGGAAUGCUCUGGAGGUUCCUCCUGAUGCCGGUGGGGAAGCAGCAAGGAGAGACUAGGGCGGCAUUCCGCGACAAGGAAUUCAUCUCCGAGACUGAUGUCCGGGUGAGCGACAGUUACAUCAAUUACCUCGGCUUGGUGAUCAAGGAGACAUUCAGGCCAUACCCACCAACUCCCAUCCUGGUCCCUCGAGAGAGUACUGAGGCAUGGGAGCUCAAUGGGUACAUGCCAUCCUUUGGUCUGCGGCGUGUACCCGAAGAAUACACCAUGAAAGUCCAUGCAAGCUCCCUUGAACCUCUCCGCUCUGAACUCCUCGGCAUGUUCCUGGACUGGGUGUCCAACAUGAUUACCCAGGAGUUUAUGAUCACCCUCGUCUUGGCUGGCAGCAUGUACCUGUUAAUCCUUCAAUCGCUGAAUGGCGUGUACCCGAAGCAGAGGCCAUGGAAGUCAAAGCGAGCUGCCUGA
rnacentral:rRNA from 1 species